UACAGAGGUGGCAAGCGUUGUUCGGAAUUACUGGGCGUAAAGGGCGUGUAGGCGGCUUCUUAAGUCAGACGUGAAAUCCCCCGGCUUAACCUGGGAACUGCGUCUGAUACUGGGAAGCUAGAGUUCGGGAGAGGGAUGUAGAAUUCCAGGUGUAGCGGUGAAAUGCGUAGAUAUCUGGAGGAAUACCGGUGGCGAAGGCGGCAUCCUGGACCGAAACUGACGCUUAAGCGCGAAAGCUAGGGGAGCAAACGGG
rnacentral:rRNA from 1 species